AUGGAGGUCCGCAGCGAUUCUGACGUGCAAAUCGAUCGUCAGAGCUAGGUAUAGGGGCGAAAGACUAAUCGAACCAUCUAGUAGCUGGUUCCCUCCGAAGUUUCCCUCAGGAUAGCUGGCGCCGAGUUGGAUUGAGCCAGUCUCAUCCGGUAAAGCGAAUGAUUAGAGGCCUUGGGGCCGAAACGACCUCAACCUAUUCUCAAACUUUAAAUGGGUGAGAUCUCCGGCUUGCUUGAACGAAGCCGCGAGAAAGCGGAUGCUGGUGCCAAGUGGGCCAAUUUUGGUAAGCAGAACUGGCGCUGUGGGAUGAACCAAACGCCGGGUUAAGGCGCCUAAACCGGAGCUCAUGGGAGACCAUGAAAGGCGUUGGUUGCUUAAGACAGCAGGACGGUGGCCAUGGAAGUCGGAAUCCGCUAAGGAGUGUGUAACAACUCACCUGCCGAAGCAACUAGCCCUGAAAAUGGAUGGCGCUAAAGCUCCGUGCCUAUACCCGGCCGCCGGAAGGCAACGCCGCUAUGCUGAAGCCCCGGCGAGUAGGAGGGCGCGGCGGUGAGCGCGGAAGGGUCUGGGCGUGAGCCCGCCUGGAGCCGCCGCCGGUGCAGAUCUUGGUGGUAGUAGCAAAUACUCAAGCGAGGGCCUUGAGGACUGAUGCGGAGAAGGGUUUCGUGUGAACAGCCGUUGCACACGAGUCAGUCGAUCCUAAGCCCUAGGAGAAAUCCGAUGCCGAUGAGGCGGGGUGGCUACCCGCCCGUCGAGGGCGAAAGGGAAUCCGGUUCCUAUUCCGGAACCCGGCAGCGGAACCGAACCGUCGGGCCCUCGCAAGAGAAGCUCGUCGGGGUAACCCAAAAGGACCCGGAGACGCCGUCGGGAGACCCGGGCAGAGUUUUCUGUUCUGCAUAAGCGUUCGAGUUCCCUGGAAUCCUCUAGCAGGGAGGUAGGGUUUGGAACGCGAAGAGCACCGCAGUUGCGGCGGUGUCCGGGUCGUCCCCUCGGACCUUGAAAAUCCGGGAGAGGGCUACGCGGAGGUGUCGCGCCGGCUCGUACCCAUAUCCGCAGCUGGUCUCCAAGGUGAGGAGCCU
rnacentral:rRNA from 1 species